rnacentral:rRNA from 1 species
UUGGUCAAUGGCCGAAAGGCUGAACCAGUAACUUGGAAGAAUGAUAAUGUUACUAUGUAUCGAUUCAUUCGCGAUUAACUCGCAUAAAAUUCUAAAUAGAUUGUAUAUAAUGACAUAAUCUAUUUAUAAGUCUUGACCAAACUACGUGCCAGCAGUCGCGUAAUACGUAGGAGGCUAGUGUUAGUUAUCUUUAUUGGGUUUAAAGGGUAAGUAGACGGUAAAUUAAACUCUAAACGAGUACUUUUUUACUAGAGUUAUAUGAGAGAAGGAAGAAUUUCUGGAGUAGAGAUAAAAUUUGAUGAUACCAGGAGGACUGUCAACGGCGAAGGCGUCCUUCUAUGUAAUAACUGACGUUGAGAGACGAAGGCUUGGGUAGCAAACAGGAUUAGAUACCCUAAUAGUCCAAGCAGACAAUGAUGAAUGUCAUACAUUAGAUAUAAAUUUAAUGUAUAAACGAAAGUGUAAGCAUUCCACCUCAAGAGUACUAUGGCAACAUAUAAACUGAAAUCAUUAGACCGUUUCUAAAACCAGUAGUGAAGUAU